ACGAAGGGUGCAAGCGUUACUCGGAAUUACUGGGCGUAAAGCGUGCGUAGGUGGUUUGUUAAGUCUGAUGUGAAAGCCCCGGGCUCAACCUGGGAAUGGCCGUUGAAACUGGCGAACUGGAGUGUGGCAGAGGGGGGUGGAAUUCCGCGUGUAGCAGUGAAAUGCGUAGAGAUGUGGAGGAACACCGAUGGCGAAGGCAGCCCCCUGGGCUAAGAUUGACGCUCAUGCACGAAAGCGUGGGGAGCAAACAGGA
rnacentral:rRNA from 1 species